UAGCGAUACCCAGUGUCGGACGGGUGCGUAACACGUGAGGAACAUGCCUAUCGGCGGGCGAUAGCCGGCCCAACGGCCGGCUAAUACCGCGUACGACCUUCGGGUGGUCUCGCCUGAUGGUGAAAGCAGCAAUGCACCGAUAGAGUGCCUCGCGACCUAUCAGCUAGUUGGUGAGGUAACGGCUCACCAAGGCGACGACGGGUAGCUGGUCUGAGAAGACGAUCAGUCACAUUGGGACUGACACACGGCCCAGACUCCUACGGGAGGCAGCACUGAGGAAUAUUGCACAAUGCGCGAAAGCCUGACGCAGCGACGCCGCGUGUGGGAUGACGCCCUUCGGC
rnacentral:rRNA from 1 species